CUAUCUACAUGCCAAAAGCUGGGAGGGGAGGGGCUGCAAUCUGUUUGGGGGUUGAAGAAGCCAUCGUUUUGAAAUUCACCUUUCAAACGGAUAAUGCGUGUAAUUCUCUAACAUGGUUUGAUGCUUUGGUCACAGAUAUCUCGACACACCCGAUCCGACCAAUAACCAUGAUGGAAGACAAUGAAUCGGUGGUUUAUAUUUCUGAAUCACAUUUCACAGGUUCUAGGUCCAGACACAUUGACAUCCGUUAUCAAAACAUAAAACAAUUAGUGAAGCAAGGUUUUGUUAAAUUGCAGUAUGUAUCUACACAUGGUCAAAUUGCAGACAUGCUCAACAAACCACUUCCAGCAGCUCAACACGAGUAUCUGCGUAAGAAGAUGUGCCUUAUUUGAUGAUGUACCUGAUGUUCGCUCAGCUGACAAAGAAGGGGAUUGUCACUGCAUUUUUUUGUAUUUGUCAGCUGGGCUCCCAUUCUGAGACUUAUGGUAGACUGAUUUGACUCUUAUCUCAGAAGCCACUGCACAUGUCCACAUUCUUUCACAUUCUUUCACUUUCUUCUAACUUUCUUUGUUCGCCUGCCAAGAGGCAAGGCAGGAACGCUGCCAAGAUGUAAUUAAUUAGCUAGUAAGGUGUUUUUACUUCUUUAUAAUAAAAUGUGUUUCUUAGAAUGUA